rnacentral:misc_RNA from 1 species
GAUGAAGAACGCAGCGAAAUGCGAUACGUAAUGUGAAUUGCAGAAUUCAGUGAAUCAUCGAGUCUUUGAACGCAUAUUGCGCCCCCUGGUAUUCCGGGGGGCAUGCCUGUCCGAGCGUCAUUGCUGCCCUCAAGCACGGCUUGUGUGUUGGGCCUCCGUCCUCCUCCCGGGGGACGGGCCCGAAAGGCAGCGGCGGCACCGCGUCCGGUCCUCGAGCGUAUGGGGCUUCGUCACCCGCUCUUGUAGGCCCGGCCGGCGCUUGCCGACACAUCAAUCUUUUUUCCAGGAUGACCUCGGAUCAGGUAGGGAUACCCGCUGAACUUAAGCAUAUCAAUAAGCGGAGGA